rnacentral:rRNA from 1 species
ACGGGGGCCCGCACAAGCGGUGGAGCAUGUGGUUUAAUUCGAUGCAACGCGAAGAACCUUACCUACUCUUGACAUCCAGAGAAUUUGGCAGAGAUGCCUUAGUGCCUUCGGGAGCUCUGAGACAGGUGCUGCAUGGCUGUCGUCAGCUCGUGUUGUGAAAUGUUGGGUUAAGUCCCGCAACGAGCGCAACCCUUAUCCUUUGUUGCCAGCACUUCGGGUGGGAACUCAAGGGAGACUGCCGGUGAUAAACCGGAGGAAGGUGGGGAUGACGUCAAGUCAUCAUGGCCCUUACGAGUAGGGCUACACACGUGCUACAAUGGCGCAUACAAAGAGAAGCGACCUCGCGAGAGCAAGCGGACCUCAUAAAGUGCGUCGUAGUCCGGAUUGGAGUCUGCAACUCGACUCCAUGAAGUCGGAAUCGCUAGUAAUCGUAGAUCAGAAUGCUACGGUGAAUACGUUCCCGGGCCUUGUACACACCGCCCGUCACACCAUGGGAGUGGGUUGCAAAAGAAGUAGGUAGCUUAACCUUCGGGAGGGCGCUUACCACUUUGUGAUUCAUGACUGGGGUGAAGUCCUAACAAGGUA